rnacentral:lncRNA from 1 species
UUAACAUUCACAUUUUAGCUUCUGCCAUUUUAACCUGUAUGUUAUUUAGAGUAGCCAUGCACUAUCAAGAAUAAAACUAGAUGCUAUUUUAUUUAAGUAAAAGGCAGAAGUAUCUGACUAUAUAAAUAUUUCCGGGAUUUACAUCCGAACAAGGCAUGACAGGAAAAAAAGGAGGAAAAAAAAAAAAGGAGGGUUUUCCUGCCAAAUGCAUCUGUGUGAAUUUUCCUCAGAAAGGGUUCUUUUAAAAAGCCUUUGUAUGUUCAAAGCCACUCCACACAGGCAAUUAAAGGCAGAUAUGAAAUGACAGAUCACAAGACAUGAGUUUAAAUGUGAGGGGUUUUUUUCCCCCUCUCCGUUAAACAUCGCAGCAGGCGUUACAAUACCAGAGGUAACGAAUCAAUUAAAUCCAUUUUCCCCUCCGCGCCUCUGAAGCUGCGUGUGUAGUGUUGCUGUGUAGUUUAGAGCCUGAGCAGUAGGACCCAGGGGCCUCCGCAGCCACCAAUAGAAGCGCGCACUUGCACCUAUUUGCAUGCAAUGCCCUCUGCUCUGCGCAUUAAUAGUAAUAGAGAUAACGGGGUUGAAAGAAUUCUCUACUGAAGAAGGAUUGGAUUUUUUCAGGGUACUGAUACCGAGAAGAAACCCGACUUCAAUCACUCCCCAUUUCCCACUCAACAUUUGUAAGUCACAGGCAGCUUUUGCUUGGUUAAUAAAGUCGGGGAGGUCUCGGUGCCCAGCAAAGUUGGGAGGACUGCGCCUGCACCCCGGAGCCGCUAGAUCGAGGAAAACAGUCUUAUCAAAGGAUAAAACAUAUCUGUAUAACUGGCUGGGUGUAAUGCAAGGAAGGGACAAAGAUGAAAUGGACACAUGCUCCUUUUUUGGCCAUAAUAUCACUCCUCAGCUUGUCAAAAAGUCACUUGUUCCUGGCACAGCUUAUUCCAGGUAA